AAAGAGAAAGGCAAAGAAAAAAAACUAAAAAAUGUCUGAAAGUCCAUAAACCCGACACGAUCCAAUUGCUCAUUUGUUUAUGUCCUUUUCAAAACAGAAACUAAUCUCAGCCGUCCGAUCCUUCAAUAAUUUGAAACCCUCCUUCCUCUCUUUUUCUCUCUCACUUCACUCAAUUGUUUCACUUUCCUUACUUCAUCAGUCUCAAAUAAAAGCGGGCUUCCGGUUCCAUCAGAUCGGGUCUCUCGGUUCCUGGUCGGUCAUCGAUCCGCUUCUUCUUUUUUGUAGGUCUGUUCCUUGUUCCAAAUAUCUCUCUUCAUUUCCGUCGAUUUUCGCCUACGCGUUUCUAAACCAAAAAGAAAUUUUAAAAGUUUCAUUUUUUUUUUUUGUAUAAAUUAUAGAACAUAAUUUCAAGGAAGCUAUAUUAUAUCGAGUUGAUUUUUCUAAUUUUUAAUAUUGUUGAUUGAAUUUUUUUAAAUAAAUUUUUGAACUCUUUUUUUGAGAAUAUAAAUUUUGAAGUAGUGUAAUUUGAGUAUCUUGCGAUUUCUUAGCAACCAAACAGCAAUCGAAUUUCCGAUUUUUACUCAAAAUAUCUUAAUUUUGUAUAUUUCCAUUAUUUAAAGUUUUUUUAGAUAUUUUGGGUCUGAGAUUUUACUUUUGUUUUUUUGUUUGAAAGACAAAAAGAAAUCGCUAUCAAAAGACUUGUAGAAAACAGAAUCUUUAUGUGCUUUCCAUCAAUGGAUUAAAAAUUUUAAAAAAUAAGAGGAAUCAGAAUCUUUUCUUUUUAUUUCCCAUUUUCGUGCAAGUUGCUAACGUACGCCUAGUGGAUGUAGUCUAACCGCGUUUUUUUAUUUGUGGAUAUUUUAAUUUAUUCAAUUAUUUGUUUGAAUUCUAAUAAUAAAAGGAGAUAUCUUAAGAUUUAAGUUUUGAUUAGAAUAGUAGAGUAGAGGGUUCUCCUUUGUUUUAAGUUUUAAAAAGAUUGGUUCUUGAUAUAGAAAAGAUUGGUGCUUCUUUUUUGACUUAAUUUUUCUUUUUCUAAAAUUUUUUGCUGUACACUUUGUUUCUCUAUAUUGUUUAUAGGCGUUAACUUGGGCUAAUUUAUUGAUCGACAAUGGCCGCUGCGACGGAACUCGACAAAUGUAUGCUCUUCUUUUUACUGGUUUUGAUUUGCUUUUUGAAUAUGCUUUAAAUUGACAAGUUCUUAAGCUUUUUUCUUCAUACUUUUCCUCUCAUUGAUUGAAGUAGAAGAUAAAAGUUUGGUCCUUUCAUGUUUGGUGAAGUUUUCUACAAGGGGUUUGAGUUUAUGUGGAAUACAAUGUUAUUAUCUUGGUUAUACCAUGGGAAAUAAAUUGUGUCUAUUUUGUAGUGAUGUAGAGUGAAAAGUGUCAGUAGUGACUAUUUGUUUAUUUCUUUUAGAUGUUAGAUACUUUUUGUUUGAAGAGUAAAGAUAUAUAAAUUCUUGACUUUCUUAGCAAUUAAUAAACUGUAUU
rnacentral:lncRNA from 1 species